GAGUUUGAUCGUGGCUCAGAACGAACGCUGGCGGCAGGCCUAACACAUGCAAGUCGAACGCUCCGCAAGGAGAGUGGCAGACGGGUGAGUAACGCGUGGGAACCUACCUCGAGGUACGGAACAACCAAGGGAAACUUUGGCUAAUACCGUAUGUGCCCGAGAGGGGAAAGAUUCAUCGCCUUGGGAUGGGCCCGCGUCGGAUUAGCUAGUUGGUGAGGUAACGGCUCACCAAGGCGACGAUCCGUAGCUGGUCUGAGAGGAUGACCAGCCACACUGGGACUGAGACACGGCCCAGACUCCUACGGGAGGCAGCAGUGGGGAAUAUUGGACAAUGGGCGAAAGCCUGAUCCAGCCAUGCCGCGUGUGUGAAGAAGGUCUUCGGAUUGUAAAGCACUUUAAGUUGGGAGGAAGGGCAGUAAAUUAAUACUUUGCUGUUUUGACGUUACCGACAGAAUAAGCACCGGCUAACUCUGUGCCAGCAGCCGCGGUAAG
rnacentral:rRNA from 1 species